rnacentral:rRNA from 1 species
AUUGAACGCUGGCGGCAGGCCUAACACAUGCGAGUCGAGCGGACGAACGGGGCUUGCUCCUGGCUUACGCGGCGGACGGGCGGGUAAUGAACAGGAAUCUGCCCGGUCGUGGGGGCUAACGUAAGGUCACGAGCGCUAAUAUAGUAUCCGUUCAGAGGGUGAACGUGGGGGAUCUUUGGACCUAGAGGUAUUUGCUGAGACUAGGUCGGAUUAGCUAGUUGGUGGGGUAAAGGCCUACCAAGGCGACGAUCCGUAACUGAUCUGAGAGGAUGAUCAGUCACACUGGAACUGAGACACGGUCCAGACUCCUACGGGAGGCAGCAGUGGGGAAUAUUGCACAAUGGGCGAAAGCCUGAUGCAGCAAUGCCGCGUGAGUGAUGAAGGUCUUCGGAUUGUAAAACACUGUAAGUUGGGAAGAAGAACAGUAAGAUAAAACCUUGCUGUUUUGACGUUACCAACAGAAUAAGCACCGGCUAACUACGUG